CUUAGUGGCGCACGGGUGCGUAACGCGUGGGAAUCUGCCCCUUGGUUCGGAAUAACAGUUGGAAACGACUGCUAAUACCGGAUGACGACGUAAGUCCAAAGAUUUAUCGCCGAGGGAUGAGCCCGCGUAGGAUUAGGUAGUUGGUGUGGUAAAGGCGCACCAAGCCGACGAUCCUUAGCUGGUCUGAGAGGAUGAUCAGCCACACUGGGACUGAGACACGGCCCAGACUCCUACGGGAGGCAGCAGUGGGGAAUAUUGGACAAUGGGCAAAAGCCUGAUCCAGCAAUGCCGCGUGAGUGAUGAAGGCCUUAGGGUUGUAAAGCUCUUUUACCCGGGAUGAUAAUGACAGUACCGGGAGAAUAAGCUCCGGCUAACUCCGUGCCAGCAGCCGCGGUAAUACGGAGGGAGCUAGCGUUAUUCGGAAUUACUGGGCGUAAAGCGCACGUAGGCGGCUUUGUAAGUAAGAGGUGAAAGCCCAGAGCUCAACUCUGGAAUUGCCUUUUAGACUGCAUCGCUUGAAUCAUGGAGAGGUCAGUGGAAUUCCGAGUGUAGAGGUGAAAUUCGUAGAUAUUCGGAAGAACACCAGUGGCGAAGGC
rnacentral:rRNA from 1 species